rnacentral:rRNA from 1 species
GGGGAAUUGUUCACAAUGGGCGCAAGCCUGAUGACGCAACGCCGCGUGGAGGAUGAAGGUCUUCGGAUUGUAAACUCCUGUUGCUCGGGAAGAAAAGCUCCAACCUAACACGUUGGAGUCUGACGGUACCGGGUGAGGAAGCCCCGGCUAACUCUGUGCCAGCAGCCGCGGUAAUACAGAGGGGGCAAGCGUUGUUCGGAAUUACUGGGCGUAAAGGGCGCGUAGGCGGCCUGCUAAGUCGAACGUGAAAUCCCCGGGCUCAACCCGGGAACUGCGUCCGAUACUGGUGGGCUUGAAUCCGGGAGAGGGAUGCGGAAUUCCAGGUGUAGCGGUGAAAUGCGUAGAUAUCUGGAGGAACACCGGUGGCGAAGGCGGCAUCCUGGACCGGCAUUGACGCUCAGGUGCGAAAGCUAGGGGAGCGAA